AACGCAUGCAUGCUUGGCUGCAACAUGGUUGUGUUGGCGUGGGAGGUUUCAGGGUUGGUCCAUUCACCUACUCGUCUACUCCGACGUCUCUGAAUCUCCUUGAAUCGAUUGGUUGCAUCUAAAUUGGUAUGUACCCUUAGGGCAUAGAGAAUUAUUAAGUUUUAGGUCAUUCGUGCAUAUCUUGUACAUCAGUUAGUACUCGUGCCGACUGUACGGUUAAAAUUAACGUUUUCACUUAGGAUGUUGGUAGGAUAUUAUAAUGUUUAAGG
rnacentral:lncRNA from 1 species